AAAAACUUAAAGCUUCUUUGAAAGUAUCAUUUAUCUUUUUAUAAGGAGAGUGGUAACACUCCUAACAUAUUGUCACGUAAGAUUUUGGAGUGUCACCUUAUUUUUUACUAUUUAGCACCUAAUCUUAACAUUUAGUAAGGAAUGAUAACGCUCCUAACACUUCAUUUUUUUUCUUUUUCUUUUUCUAAUUUAAUUAAACUGCUUUAGUUUAAUAUAGAAACAUUUUUCCCUACCAAGCUUUUACAGAAAGUUACAGAUCAAAACUAAAUGUAUAUUUAACAGAUACGAUUUGCCUAAGCUACAUUCUUACAUAAUAAACCAAAUACUAGAAAUAUAUUUAUCCUUACAUUCUUUUAUAAAAACAAAAUACAAUCGCUUCCUUGAUGAAACAUUUGAUCGGUUUAUACCUAAUAACUAAAGAGAAUAUACGAUGACUACAAAUCAAUUGCUAUCAAAUCCUUCAAUCCCAUUCUUCUCUUUAACUUUGCUCCAUCAUGAUAUUCAACUGUUUAAAUAUAAACCGCAAACAAAAAAAACAGCAAUUUCAUCAAACUAAAAGAUUACAAAGCUUAGGGAUAACUACACAUAAUAUAAACAACAUUUGUUCAUAUAUGAACAUAUAUGCUGAAGCUAUAAAAAUGGAGGUAAUCUUGAUUUAUUGAUAUUUUUCUUCUCAUUGUAUGCUUCUUGGUGUAGAAAGAAAAUAUUCGAUAUAAUCAAAUUGUCCUUUACGUUUUCUGCAAUCCACACAAACAUGUUCUUUUGAUGCAAAUUCUACAUGUAGUUCUGUGAAAUCACUAAAUAGGUUGAAGAGCUAAUUGAGUGUUUAUGAUAUACAUGUCAUAUAAUUUGCACAAAUGCUUACAGAGGCAUAAGCAGGAUAGUUUUUUUUACUAGCUUAAUUUUUAUCAAAGGCUCUUAGUUUAGGAAUUAGAAACUAAAUGUAACACAUAUCAGCCAAAAUUGUUACCAAAAAUUUUGAGUUCUAAUGUCCUAAAUCAUGAAAAAAAUUGCAUCCAAGUUAUAGCUAAUAUAAAAAGUUGGAUCCAAUCAUGAUUCCAAAAUCACACUACAAUAAUCCAACUUUCAGUUUGAACAAUGACAAAAUUAACUUAUGUGCAAAAAAAGAAAAAAAAACUAACCUGAACAUUGAAGAGUGAAUGAACACUAAGUUGAAUGGUCAUCAAACUGAAGAAAAAAAGUCAUUCUUCAAAAUGUAUUGAAGGUGGAAAUCUUGCUAGUUACACUGACACUUCAAUAGAAGAGAAUAACUUUAUUAAAAACAUGAACGAACAAAAAAAAUUAAAGGAAGAACAAUUUAAUUGAACGAAGGAAUGAAAAUCUUGUUAGUUACACUGACACUUCAAUGGAGGAGAAUAACUCAACUAGAAAAACAUGAAUGCACAAAAAAAUUAAAGGAAGAACAAUUUAAUUGAACAAUAGAAUGUAAAUUUUGUUAGGAUUUGGGAGAAUCUAGAUUCAAAGGUGAUGGUGGAUGUAGAGAAGUUGUGGUUCUAUUACCUGUCGUCGGAGCAAUCGUAGGCAAUGUCAAUGACAAAUUUUCAGACGCAGGGGAACAACUCGAUGUCUAAACAUGCUUGAACAAUUUCUCUCUUUGUGCAAUUUGUUAUCUUUAAUUCUGAAUUUAAUCAAACUUAUUCUCGUUGGAAUUAUACAACUGCACAGAAAACCUAGAUUAUCACCAAAAAAGAAGAAGGGGACUGUGUAUGUUUCUCCUUGGGCGACAAAGCAGAAACGAAGAACGCGAUGAGAACUUCGAACCUGCAAUCAACGAUGAAAAAGAAGGGAACCGUCUCCACCAAUAAGCUUUCACCCUCACCUUCUCUCACUUCUCGCCAAAAUGGUAAUCAGAUAGCAACUCCUCUAGUGAGCGCUAGGGGGAGGUGUUCAUGGCACGUUAGCGAGCGUAGCGAGUGGGCUUAACAUCCCGACUCCGCUUAGCCUAACGCCUUGUUCCC
rnacentral:lncRNA from 1 species